GUGGGGAAUUUUGGACAAUGGGCGCAAGCCUGAUCCAGCAAUGCCGCGUGCAGGAAGAAGGCCUUCGGGUUGUAAACUGCUUUUGUACGGAACGAAACGGUCCUGGUUAAUACCUGGGGCUAAUGACGGUACCGUAAGAAUAAGCACCGGCUAACUACGUGCCAGCAGCCGCGGUAAUACGUAGGGUGCGAGCGUUAAUCGGAAUUACUGGGCGUAAAGCGUGCGCAGGCGGUGCUGUAAGACAGGCGUGAAAUCCCCGGGCUCAACCUGGGAAUUGCGCUUGUGACUGCAGUGCUGUAGUACGGCAGAGGGGGAUGGAAUUCCGCGUGUAGCAGUGAAAUGCGUAGAUAUGCGGAGGAACACCGAUGGCGAAGGCAGUCCCCUGGGCCUGUACUGACGCUCAUGCACGAAAGCGUGGGGAGCAAACAGGAUUAGAAACCCUAGUAGUCC
rnacentral:rRNA from 1 species